rnacentral:rRNA from 1 species
AGCAGCAGCCGCGGGAAUACGGAGGGUGCAAGCGUUAAUCGGAAUUACUGGGCGUAAAGCGCACGCAGGCGGUCUGACAAGUCAGAUGUGAAAUCCCCGGGCUUAACCUGGGAACUGCAUUUGAAACUGUCAGGCUGGAGUCUUGUAGAGGGGGGUAGAAUUCCAGGUGUAGCGGUGAAAUGCGUAGAGAUCUGGAGGAAUACCGGUGGCGAAGGCGGCCCCCUGGACAAAGACUGACGCUCAGGUGCGAAAGCGUGGGGAGCAAACAGGAUUAGAUACCCCGGUAGUCCCUGUCUCUUAUAC